CCUGUUCACUGUAAGAUGGCGGAGAUGUGUGUACAAGUGAGUAGUGUUCCUGUGAAAAACGAAAAUAAUAUCGGUAAAAGUACAGUGUGUGUGAAUUGUAAGGACGAAAUUAUUAAGUUAAAUGAGUGUAUUUCUAGCCUUCAGCAAAUCGUCAGUGUAUUGGGUAGUGGAGAUGUCAGAACUUCGAAAAGAAAUAAGUGAGUCAUUAGUCAAACAAAAGGCCAGUUCUCUUCCGCAAAAAAAAAUAUCUAACGAGUUGACAAAUAUACCAUAUAAAAACAGAGGUGUGAAUACGAAAGCAUCACCAGCGAGUAAAAAAACCAAACAGUUGGUGGUUAAAAACAAAUUUCAAGUUCUUUCCGUGAGUGAAGAGGCGGAUUUAGGCCUAACAUCGGUAAGGGAACAUGAACUUUUGAACAAACUUCGUAAUCAAAAUGGUGAUACAGGCUCUGAGUUCAGCAUUAACGCAAACAAUGAAGGUGCGAAAUUGAGCAUGCCAUCUAUUGUACAUAAUAAUGGGACAUCUAUUGCACGUAGUAAUGAGAAAGACACUAUUAAUCAAAACGUACAACAGACGAAAGUAAUGUAUUAUUUUUAACGGACAGUUACGGCAGAAAAAUGACGAGACUAUUCAAAGAAAACACGAAAUACGACGCAACAGGUUUUGUGAAGCCAGGAGCAACAGCAAAAAAACAUUAUUGGUAUUGAUUUACAAGACAAAAUGUCGGGAAAAAAUGACUAUGUCGUGUGUAUAGCGGGUGCAAAUGAUGUUGCGAAAAACGAAGCAAAUAACUGUCUCACUGAAGUAAAGAAAUUCCUGGAACGGAGUAAACAAAAAAUACGAUAGUUGCAACAUUACCACACAGAUAUGAUCUAAUUUAUCACUCGUAUGUAAAUAAAGAAAUUCGUAAAACUAACAUUAAAAUAAAGCAGAUGUGUUCUUUGGAAAAUGUAGCGUCCUUGAUAUAGGCAAAUUGGACAGAUGCCAGCAUACCAAACACAGAAUGCAUGUAAAGUAUGAAGGAAAAAACUUUGUAUGUAAAAUGAUAAAUGAAAUCAUUGCGAACAGAGUGAGAGCGAACAGAAAAAUUCCAUGUGCCAGUAUGGGACCAGUCUCAGCAAAAGAAAAAGAAGCAUCCUCAAAAGCAGCAGAAUCGUCAGUGGCGGAACCAAUUGCUAAAACAACAUAUUCAGCGGUAACUAUUGCCCGUCCUACACGCAACAGAAAACAAACUCUACGUGAGUAACACGAGAGAUGAGGAUUCAAAGUUGCUUCAAGUAUCUCUCUCGUGUUUUCAAUAUGAGUUUUCCACGCCCCAAGCAAUACUAUCAACUAAUGUACUGAAAAAAGCCACUCCUAGCAAACAUCACGCAAAUGCAGAGGCAAACAUCCACAUACUUCUACAAUAGGUUAUUGUUGAACACCUAUGAUCAAUAAAAGUCUAACCACACCGUUCUUGCCACAUAAUACGGAACUACAACUUGCAGCAGCCAUGCAGACAACAAACCGAGAUGACAACUACGGCAGCAGCAGUAGAGCAACAGGAGACAAGUGAAUAAAAAUAAUGUAAUUUAAUUGCAAAAGCUGGUUUGUAUUAAGUGAUACAUAAUGAAUGGCCUUAAAGAACAAGACAGAGUGAUGGAGAACAAUGGACAACAAGGGAGUGAUAUGCUUGAAAACAAAGCUGUAGAAGUUAAGUUUUUAAAUGAACAGACAUACUUAAUGGGGACUGGUUCUGCAGACGAUAGCAGUUAUAAAUCAGACAUGAAUGUAACUUUGAAUGAUGGAAAUGAAAGCCCUAUUGUAAAGAGCGUAAUGGACAGAAACAGUACUGAAGUGGAUGAGAUCGUCAAGGUUAAGGGGGAGGAAUCUAGUAACAAAAGUCAGCAAGGGCAACAGGUUAUGGCAGAUGGAAAAUUGGAAGCAAUGUUAAGACAAAUUGUGAGUAGUAUGUGUACGAUAAAAGACAUUAGUAGGGUGGAAAAGAAAACUGAUAGCUUUAGAACUGACAUGGUUAGCUUAAAGGUUGAACUGAAGAAAGAAAUUAAAAAAGAGAUUAAGGUAGUCAGCUCUAAUCUUUCAAAAUUAAAUAACAAGACUAAGGCAGUAGUUAAAGAUUAUGAUGAAAUACUAAAGAAAGUAGAGCAGAAUAUGAAUGAGAAAUUAACAUAAACAAGUAGUAAAUGUGUGGAAGAGAGAAAGAAGCUUUGUCAUGACAACAGUAGGAAGGUGGAGGUUUCUGAGAAACAAUGUGCUGAAAAUAGAGCUAAACUUGAGAACCAAAUCGAUCAGAUUAAAAAUGAUUUAGAAACAGAGGUAGAAACCAAGUGUGCCAUAGUGGUAGAGGAAACACUGGAAAAAGUAAAUGAAAAUGUAGAUUAAAAUUGGCUAAAAUAGAGAAAAAGGUGGAAGAAGUACAAAAUCAAAAGUGUAGAGAAAGUGACAGUGGGUCUGAUAAUCAUUUUGGUAAGCAGGAUGCUAGUUUUUCCAGUGAAAGGAUUUACGAGGAUUUGUUGUAUGAAGAAGAUUGCCUGAUAAGUAAAAAGGAAGUGUGGCACACUGUAAUAACAACAAGGGUACAAGGUAUACAUGUUAAGAGUUUACUGGGCAGUGGUACUGAUUUGGAUGGUAUUUCACAGGCAUUUUUUGAAUCUAUUAAGAACACAGAGGGUAUAGAAAUGUGUGUCUCUGGAACAAACAUUAUUGGUGCCACUGGUAAGCCAUCAAAGAGUGUGAAACAAGAGGUACCAUUAAUGGUGGAAUUGGCAGGACAGUUGUUGGAGUGCAAUUUCUUGAUAAUUAAAAAGCUCAGCAUUGAUGUAAUAUUGUGCAAAUAGCAAGUAUGGGGGUUCAACAUUCUGUGUUGGAUUCAUUAUGUGGUGAUAAUGCUUACCCCAGCUAUCUGUCUAAUUUUACAUGUUUCCUGAGGCAGUCAAACUCUUCUCCCAUCCUAUCUGUAGUUUAUAAGUGAAAUCAGAAACAUUCAAUCUUCAACUUUCAUGUAAUUUUGAACAGUAAGAUACUUUAGUAUAGGAGUAUUUUAGAAAAGGUUCCUCCAGUGAUAUCUAUUUAUAUUAUGUUCUGUUAGUUAUAAGUGAUGGAAUCAUAAGAGUAUGAUUGAUUGAUUGAUUUUUAUUGCCCAAAAACAAAACAUUUACAGGGAUGUAAAGCUUGUAUAAGCAAUGUCAAUAAAUAUACAAACAACAAUGACAAUAAAUACACAAAUAAUUAAUCUAUGUUAGAAAUUAUGCUCACAGAAAUCUUUCGUUGUAUAAAAACAAUUUUGAAUUAAUAAAGAUCUUACAAAUAU